rnacentral:rRNA from 1 species
CAAUAGCGUAUAUUAAAGUUGUUGCAGUUAGAACGCUCGUAGUCGGAUUUCGGGGAGGGUCGACCGGUCUGCCGAUGGGUACGCACUGGCCGACGCGUCCUUCCUUCCGGAGACCGUCCCUACUCUUAACUGAGCGGGGGCGGGAGACGGAACGUUUACUUUGAAAAAAUCAGAGUGUUUCAAGCAGGCAUCUCGCUCUUGCACGGAUUAGCAUGGGAUAAUGAAAUAGGACUUUGGUGCUAUUUUGUUGGUUUCGAACACCGAAGUAAUGAUGAGAAGGGACAGUCAGGGGCACUCGUAUUCCGCCGAGAGAGGUGAAAUUCUCAGACCAGCGGAAGACGAACCACUGCGAAAGCAUUUGCCAGGGAUGUUUUCACUGA